CAUACUACUUUUCUAUGGAGAACUGAAGAGGGAGCUGAAGAACAUUGAGCUGAAGAGCUGAAACCCCAAAUCAGAAUCGAAGAAUUGAUGAAGAGCUGAAGUUCGCUUUUCUCACGGAACCGCUGAAGAGCUGAAGAUCGAAAACAGAGCUGAAGAGCACUUACACGAUUUCAUUUUUCUCGCUCCACUUUUAGUCGUUCUGAUUCAAUCACUUUUUUGUUUGUUUGUUGAUUUGUUGUAUUCACUUUAGUGUUAAUCUCUUGAAACUUCAUUGUUGAAAUCCCUUUUUGGGAUGUGGGUUUUUGUGCUUUUGCCAUUCUUGUUUUUCUGAUAGCGUAAAUUACAUGGGUGUAGAGUUUGAGCUGGAGUAGGUUCAUGUAUUUUGCAUUCACUUCAGUGAUAAUCUAUUGAAACUUCAUUGUGAAUAAUCUGUUUUUGGGAUGUGGGUUUGUUUGCUUUUACCAUUAUUAUUGUUCUGAUAGCUUAAAUGACAUGAGUAUAUAAUUUAAGCUAGAGUAGAUUCAUGUAUGUUGUAUUUACUUCAGUGUAAAUCUCUUCGAAGCUCAUUGUGAAAUCCUUCUUUUUUUGUGUGUGAGAAUGGUAACUCGAUUGUGACAAUUCCUUUUUGGGAUGUGGGUAUUUUUCUUUUAAAAUUCCUUACUGUUCGGUUUGUUUAAGGUGCAUAGGUAUAGGAUUUGAGCUGGAAUGAGUUCAUGUAUCUAGUAUUCACUUCAGUGCUAAUCUCUUCAAAGUUCAUAGUGACAAUUUCUUUUCCGGAUGUGGUUUUUUCUUUUCUUUUUCCUUUCUUGUCGUUCUGUUAGUUUAAAUUACAUGGGUUUAUAAUUUGGGCUGUAAUAGGGACAAUAUGUUGAUGCAUUCUGCCAACCACAAAUUUGAUAGGCCUGGCGAAGCUGAAGCCUCCAUUCAAAAGAGACGGAGCAACAACUACAGGGAAUUCUAGCCAGGUCAGUGAUGGUGCGGCUGCAGUGCUACUCAUGAAGAGAAGUAUAGCUAUGUAGAAGGGACUUCCAAUUCUUGGUGUUUUCAGAUACACACUCUGUAUAACUAAGAAAUAUUGUAAGAUGCUAACUUUGGAGAUAUUGACUUCGUCAACUGCACAUUCACUAUCUUCUACCAUCUUUUCAGGUAAGCUGCACGUAGUUAUGUGACGUCCAGUUCUGCUCUUGUUUUCCUGAUGCUCAAAGAGGAAUGGUGAUAGCUGAGGCUGAAGGCCAUCAUAAUGUAGGUAUCCUAUGUUCAAAAUUCUGCAAAACUUGAUGAAUGGUACACUGGAAAAUUGCAGUCAGACUGUCGAGACAUGAAAUCGAUCUCCAGCAGUCCAAGCCAUUACAUUUGCGAAAAGAAAUAGAUUUUUGAGAUGAAAACUAUUUCCUCUAUCCUACUAAGCCUAAAGUUAGAGCAGAAACUAACAUCAGCUGUUGAUCAUCUUGUUCAGGAAUUCAGCUUGCUCAGGAAAGUAUUCCAAUAGGGACCCAAAAAUCUAACCCGGCAGGACCACAACAGUUCUUUUCCGAUCAUUACUAAUGAUACUUGCUUACUUGAAUUUUCAUGUGUGAUUUCUGGUAUUUUUAUAUGAAGUAGGUGAAGAGUGAAAUGUUUCACUGGUCUCUAGGACAAUGGCAGCUGUGUGUGAAGAUCAUGAAAUUUAUGUGAAGAUAAUGAAAUUUCCUACUAUCAAUUAUUAGUUUGGACGUAAAUGAUCAACACAAGUAUAUUGAAUAUUGCUUAUUUUUUUCCAGCUGGUGCAUCUAUAGACUACAAGAUUAUAGGAUUUGGAUUAUAAUAUUAGCACAUCCAGCUUACUAUAUGACAUUAAA